rnacentral:rRNA from 1 species
UAGGGAAUAUUAGGAAUGGGCGAAAGCCUGAACUAGCAACGCCGCGUGUGCGAAGAAGGCCUUCGGGUUGUAAAGCACUUUUUGAGAGGAUGAGGAAGGACGGUACUCUCAGAAUAAGUCUCGGCUAACUACGUGCCAGCAGCCGCGGUAACACGUAGGAGGCGAACGUUAUCCGGAUGUACUGGGCGUAAAGCGCGUGUAGGUGGUUUGGUAAGUAGGGCGUGAAAGCUCCUGGCUCAACUGGGAGAGGCCGUUCUAAACUGGCGAACUAGAGGAUGGUAGAGGGAGGUGGAAUUCCGCGUGUAGCGGUGGAAUGCGCAGAUAUCCGGAGGAACACCAGUGGCGAGAGCGGCCUCCUGGACCACUCCUGACACUCAGACGCGA